rnacentral:rRNA from 1 species
UACGGAGGGGGCUAGCGUUGUUCGGAAUUACUGGGCGUAAAGCGCACGUAGGCGGCUUUGUAAGUUAGAGGUGAAAGCCCAGGGCUCAACCCUGGAAUUGCCUUUAAGACUGCAUCGCUUGAACAUCGGAGAGGUAAGUGGAAUUCCGAGUGUAGAGGUGAAAUUCGUAGAUAUUCGCAAGAACACCAGUGGCGAAGGCGGCUCACUGGUCCGGUACUGACGCUGAGGUGCGAAAGCGUGGGGAGCAAACAGG